rnacentral:rRNA from 1 species
GUAACGGCGAGUGAAGCGGCAACAGCUCAAAUUUGAAAUCUGGCGUCUUUGGCGUCCGAGUUGUAAUUUGCAGAGGGCGCUUUGGCAUUGGCAGCGGUCCAAGUUCCUUGGAACAGGACGUCACAGAGGGUGAGAAUCCCGUACGUGGUCGCUAGCCUUUACCGUGUAAAGCCCCUUCGACGAGUCGAGUUGUUUGGGAAUGCAGCUCUAAAUGGGAGGUAAAUUUCUUCUAAAGCUAAAUACUGGCCAGAGACCGAUAGCGCACAAGUAGAGUGAUCGAAAGAUGAAAAGCACUUUGGAAAGAGAGUUAAAAAGCACGUGAAAUUGUUGAAAGGGAAGCGCUUGCAGCCAGACUUGCCUGUAGUUGCUCAUCCGGGUUUCUACCCGGUGCACUCUUCUACGGGCAGGCCAGCAUCAGUUUGGGCGGUUGGAUAAAGGUCUCUGUCAUGUACCUCCUUUCGGGGAGAUCUUAUAGGGGAGACGACAUGCAACCAGCCUGGACUGAGGUCCGCGCAUCUGCUAGGAUGCUGGCGUAAUGGCUGUAAGCGGCCCGUCUUGAAACACGGACCAAGGAGUCUAACAUCUAUGCGAGUGUUUGGGUGUCAAGCCCGAGCGCGUAAUGAAAGUGAACGGAGGUGGGAACCUUUCGGGGUGCACCAUCGACCGAUCCUGAUGUCUUCGGAUGGAUUUGAGUAAGAGCAUAGCUGUUGGGACCCGAAAGAUGGUGAACUAUGCUUGAAUAGGGUGAAGCCAGAGGAAACUCUGGUGGAGGCUCGCAGCGGUUCUGACGUGCAAAUCGAUCGUCAAAUUUGGGCAU